GACGAACCGUGCGAACGUUGUUCGGAAUCACUGGGCUUAAAGGGCGCGUAGGCGGGCAGGCAAGUCAGGGGUGAAAGCCCACGGCUCAACCGUGGAAGCGCCUUUGAUACUGCCGGUCUCGAGGGAGGUAGGGGCGUGCGGAACUUCCGGUGGAGCGGUGAAAUGCGUAGAUAUCAGGAGGAACACCCGUGGCGAAGGCGGCUCUCUGGGACGGUACUGACGCUGAGACGCGAAAGCGUGGGGAGCAAACAGG
rnacentral:rRNA from 1 species